AGAGKUUKRAWUCAUGGCUCAGGAUGAACGCUGGCGGCGUGCCUAAUACAUGCAAGUCGAACGCUUUGUGGUUCAACUGAUUUGAAGAGCUUGCUCAGAUAUGACGAUGGACAUUGCAAAGAGUGGCGAACGGGUGAGUAACACGUGGGAAACCUACCUCUUAGCAGGGGAUAACAUUUGGAAACAGAUGCUAAUACCGUAUAACAAUGACAACCGCAUGGUUGUUAUUUAAAAGAUGGUUCUGCUAUCACUAAGAGAUGGUCCCGCGGUGCAUUAGCUAGUUGGUAAGGUAAUGGCUUACCAAGGCGAUGAUGCAUAGCCGAGUUGAGAGACUGAUCGGCCACAAUGGGACUGAGACACGGCCCAUACUCCUACGGGAGGCAGCAGUAGGGAAUCUUCCACAAUGGGCGAAAGCCUGAUGGAGCAACGCCGCGUGUGUGAUGAAGGGUUUCGGCUCGUAAAACACUGUUGUAAGAGAAGAAUGACAUUGAGAGUAACUGUUCAAUGUGUGACGGUAUCUUACCAGAAAGGAACGGCUAAAUACGUGCCAGCAGCCGCGGUAAUACGUAUGUUCCAAGCGUUAUCCGGAUUUAUUGGGCGUAAAGCGAGCGCAGACGGUUAUUUAAGUCUGAAGUGAAAGCCCUCAGCUCAACUGAGGAAUUGCUUUGGAAACUGGAUGACUUGAGUGCAGUAGAGGAAAGUGGAACUCCAUGUGUAGCGGUGAAAUGCGUAGAUAUAUGGAAGAACACCAGUGGCGAAGGCGGCUUUCUGGACUGUAACUGACGUUGAGGCUCGAAAGUGUGGGUAGCAAACAGGAUUAGAUACCCUGGUAGUCCACACCGUAAACGAUGAGUGMUAGGUGUUUGAGGGUUUCCGCCCUUAAGUGCCGCAGCUAACGCAUUAAGCAYUCCCSSGCCCA
rnacentral:rRNA from 1 species